rnacentral:rRNA from 1 species
CCUACGGGUGGCUGCAGUAGGGAAUCUUCCACAAUGGGCGCAAGCCUGAUGGAGCAACACCGCGUGAGUGAAGAAGGGUUUCGGCUCGUAAAGCUCUGUUGUUGGAGAAGAACGUGCGUGAGAGUAACUGUUCACGCAGUGACGGUAUCCAACCAGAAAGUCACGGCUAACUACGUGCCAGCAGCCGCGGUAAUACGUAGGUGGCAAGCGUUAUCCGGAUUUAUUGGGUUUAAAGGGUGCGUAGGCGGGAUGCCAAGUCAGCGGUAAAAAUGCGGUGCUCAACGCCGUCGAGCCGUUGAAACUGGCGUUCUUGAGUGGGCGAGAAGUAUGCGGAAUGCGUGGUGUAGCGGUGAAAUGCAUAGAUAUCACGCAGAACUCCGAUUGCGAAGGCAGCAUACCGGCGCCCUACUGACGCUGAGGCACGAAAGCGUGGGUAUCGAACAGGAUUAGAUACCCCAGUAGUC